AAUACGUUUUAGUAUCCGCUACUUCAUCUAAGAGCUCUGGGGCAUAUUUCAAACAUCUUAUUAGAGGACUGCCUGUGUGGUGACUGCCUGUGACCUUCCCUUUGGAAGCGGCCAGCACUGAUUGGAAUUCAUCUGCUCCUUUCUGAGCAGGACUGAGGCCAGGAGGAUGUCAGGGAGAUGUGAACAAGAUCGUGAUGUGGGGCACCCUUUGAAGGAUACCCAAAGUUUCUUUGAAAAAUCGAAGCCAUGGAACGGCUUUGCCCAGCCUCCCUCUGGAGGUCAGAGCAUCUGUAAGGACACACGGGUUCCCGGCCUCCACGAAAACCCUGUCUUCCCAUUUGAUUUCUGCACCAGCCCUGCCGGGCCAACCUUGGGAGCUUUCUUUUCCUUCACGUAAAUUCUGGAGAUGAGAACACUUGGGGCCUUUUGGCAGACUUACACAGAGCACACCAGGCCCAGGAAUCUCCGUAAGUGCCCAAUAAAACAAGAGCAAGCUAGACAGGAGCCAAGAAGACCCACCUGCAGUAUAUUUAAGCAGACAGCCCAAGCUGGCAUUGAGAGGCUAUCGACUGUCCAAACAGCAGCCAGAGAAACAAUCGACAAAGCCGUCCCUUGAGAACGCUGAGUAAACUGGCGAAAAUACCGUCAAAGGAGUUAAUGUGCGAGCUGGCACCCAACGCCAGUCCCAGCGUGAGAACCACUUAGGCGGGAACUGUCUCUCCCGGGGUCCGGGCUCUGUCAAACCUUGCCCCAGGUUGCCUUUCAGCACAGGAACUGAUCUCUUUUGACAAACUGAAAUACACACCCACCCCAAAGCCCCACCAGCCGCGCGGGAGGGGAAUUCAGGUGGGAAAGCGGGCAAUCCUCUAGCAGCCUGCAGGCUGAUUCGGUUUCGCCAGACUCCCCCAGGGUGGGGCCGGCAGGGCGGACUGAUUCUUGGGAACCUGAGUGCUAUUUAUGCGCGGAUCUGACCUAGACGGGAAGAUAAAGCCAGACACCAGCUUGAGUCUCACAAACCCCUUUCACCCUCUGCAUCCGCAGAGGGCCUCCUCAGGCCCAGAGUCCCACACUGUCCUUUGUGGCCUGGAGAACAAGCAUCCGUAAACGGAGAGAUUGUGGCUGCACCUAGCACAAACGCGAGGUCAGGGCGGUAACACGAGGUGCGCACGCAUCUCAGCAUCACUGGGCUCCCUGAAUCAGCGUGAAAUGC
ensembl:lncRNA